UUACAUCAUCGAAACAGUGGUACAAACAGCUGCAGUGGGAGGAAUCUUUCAUUUACAAUCCUAUGUUUUAAAGCAGCACAGAGUAAUGCUCAGGGAAUGAGAGUGACUUAUUUUUAUGAUUCUGUUUCAGUGCCCAGCUUAGACAUAAGAGGUUGUGAAUGUCCAUCACCUGCAACAAUCAGCAGUGCUGCCACUAAACAUAUCAGACAGUAAAUUACCUGUAUACAAAAAAAGGUAAUAAAUAAAUAAAUCUUUCAUCAUCAUCCAAUCAAACCAUGGCUGAGUUUGUAACCAGGCAGAUUCCAGGGAGAGUUCCAUUCCAGGCAGAUUCCAUCGAUGAAAAGGCUGUUCAGUUCAUUUAUGCAACAAAUUCUCCCUUUCAUCUUGUUCAGAACAACAUUUCAUUGACAGGUUCAAUCAUUAUGACCAGGCUACUGUCCAUCUGGCAGUGCAGACAUUGCUGCAAAGUUGAUGGAUACAGGGUAUAAGAAGGAAAAUGAGCAGUGUGCAAAAAACAUUGCUGGGAAAUUUGUUAAUCUGAGUCUUAAAGGGUGGAGCAAUGUACACAAUGACCCAGCAAUAAGUGCUGGUGUGACAACAGAAGGUGGGGGUUUGUCAUACAGAAACAACUGAUACAUCAGGAAAUGCCCAUACAGCAGAGUACUUAAAAGUAGCAGUAAAAGCUGUAGCAAACUGGGAGCAAAAAUUCAAGUGUCAGGUGUGUCAUUUUGUCACAGACAAUGCUGCAAAUGUAGCAAAGAUAAGACGAAAUCUACAAGAUGAUAAUGAAAGGAACAUAAAACUUGUAACAUAUGGGUCCAGUGCUCAUUUGAUGCAUCUUUUAGCCGAAGACUCAAGUACAACUCCAGGAAUAAAAAACAAUGUGAUGAAAUUGCAAAACACUUACAUGACAACCACUCUGCUCAGCCUCACCGCAGAGAGGAAGCGGAGCCAAACUAAUUCUCCCCCAGGAUGUACAGUGGAAUUCAGUGGUUGACUGUUCUGAGCUGUGUGUUCAGAACUGGCCUAUUGUGACGAAAAUUGUGACCAAAUAGAUGGAACUACCACAGCCAAAGAAGUCAGCACUGGAGUAGAGAGCAAGGUGGAAGAUGUGCUGAAUACACCGAAACCUGCUUCCAGAGCCUUGGACAAACUGCGGGAAGAUUGUGCUGUGUUGCUGAUGCUGCUGACAUUUGGAAAGAACUUCAAGGGACCUUGACAAAAGAAGUACCCAACACCACAGUUAAAUUGCAGGCAGGAAAGAGGCGGCUGGAUCAAGCAAAGUACCAGGGUAGAUGCCUAGUUGCUGAAGAAGAUGCUGCUAUGACCUGGGCAUCUAAUAAUCACCAGGCACUCAUGCCAACCAUAACACCUUUCAGGGCGGGAGGUGACCACGGGGGAGCAGUACAUGUUUGCUGAUGCCGUUUUAAAGCAAGUCACACCACUGAACCUGGGGGAAGUCACUAGCUAAGCACCCGGAACCAGAGGCCGUUGAAUGCUAAACCAGCUUUAGACAGCAGUAGCCUGUUCUGCAGGCACAGAAGGAAUAUUUACUUCAUUUGGACUAAUUCAUUCAAAGUUGAGAGAUAAAUUGGGAGUUGAAAAAGAUGAAAACCUGUCUCUCUCUUCCAGUCUGUGAAUAAAAACGAGGAAGGAGAGGACGAGAUCUUCUUCUUUUAAAAGUCUGAAGGGAAGCCUAUGUAAUUUAGGAGACUGUUGUUUCAUUUUUCAAGAGACUUAGCACAUCGUCAGACACUAUCAUUUCUUCUCCGCCAUUACCCCAGUGCCAUCGCUUGCUUUCGUCUUCAUGAAGGAAUUUGAAGUGAAGUCGUGCUCUGAAAGGGAACGCUGAAGGAGGACACCAUAGGAGAUGAAAGCGCUCUUUCCUUGGCUUCAUGCCAAAUUGACUCCAUUUUCAUGUAAAAAGAUCCUUUUUUCCCUCCCCUUCCCCCUAGCCAUCACCUACCAUAAGAAACUCAGGUUGGAGGUGUUCUGGCAACUGCAUCCUCAACCCCAGUAAAGAUUUUACCAGCUCAGUGCUGCCAUCAACGGAGCUGAAGCUGUAAUUGCAGGCAGAAUGUUGCCUUUGAGAUGAAAAGGAAAGGAGUACGUGUGGCACCUUAGAGACUAACAAAUUUAUUUGAAGUGAGCUGUAGCUCACGAAAGCUUAUGCUCAUAUAAAUUUGUUAGGCUCUAAGGUGCCACAAGUACUCCUGUUCUUUUUGCAAAUACAGACUAACACGGCUGCUACUCUGAAGCCUUUGAGACGGAAGUUGGUAAGCAAUCCUGAGCGGGUCAGAACUCUCCCACAGCUCCAUGGGCAGGGCAGUGCUCACUGGAAUUCAAAAAUAAAUCAGUUUGAACUUAUUUUUGUGCAGUGUAUAGGAAUAGGAUAGGAAGUCCUAUUGUGAGCCCUCUAGGGGCACUCAUUCUACUUACUCUCUGUUUUAGAGGCUGCCAGAAAUGAGCCAGAGAAGCAAUGUGUAUGUAGCUAGGCUUGGCUUGUUUGGUUGUGCUUGGUAUACACAUUUAUAUGGACCUGGCUGUGUCCAGGUGAUUUCUUUACAUUAUUUGUGUGGUGUGAAGAACGAGACACCCACCCUUUUGUCACUACAGCAGACUCCUAUCUGUAAGGUGCCAUUUUUUUUUUAACCACACACUUUUUUCUGAUCACACCCCUUUUAAGAUGCUGCUAAUGAGUUUCCUCUCAGUUAAUAAAGGGCCAGCUCUCCUUCCUUGCUCCCUUCAUGGAACAGCCCCAGCAGUCUACUUCUUGCUUUAUUGCCUACUUGGCUCUCAAAUGCAAAUAUAAAGCUACAGGAAUAAGGGAUGCAGCCAAGACGUGAAUCAGCAGCAAGUCCACAAUAACAGACACAUGAAAAAAACCGCUUCUGACAAGCCCUGUUUCAGUAAUCCCCCAAAACUCAGCACAGAUAGUCCUUGCUGACCUAUCAAUUCUCUCCCAACUCCCCUUUAUAUUGGAUACGUUUGUCUUCUGACAUUAAACCUUCCCUUAUCAGAAAUAAGUCCCAGUCCUUCAGUAUUUAUCAAAGUAGCAAAGGAAGCCAUAAAGAUUCCCCUCAUAUAACCAACAAAUAGUUUUCCAAGGUGUAUGUCUAUACCCGAUUCCUUCACACUUAGCACACCGCUCUCCUUGUCUCAUGUAACGGUUAUAUUCCUUCAGGGGCUGUUUUUAAUAGUUACUUCUGUAUUUGCCGAGGGGUGCUGCAUUUGGGAUAGCCACAAAGGUCCAAUCCUGCGUGGGGAGCUAUUUGUGCUACAGAGCUCCCCUCACAUCAGUCAGGCCCUGCUUCAGCACUGGGAGUGAAUUCCACAAUCGGGGCUUUGGCACAGCUAUAGCCAAGUCUCCUACUACAGGAGACUCCUGCCGUUAAGCUUGUGUGAGCCAUUCUUCUGCCAGUGCUGAAUAGAAAGUCUACAAUGGCAAUUUUGGCUUUUGAGCAGUGGUAAUAUGACCAUAAAUAAAUCAAUAAAAGCCCUCAACAUUUUAAAACACAUCUAUCAUUUUAUCCAAUCUGUAUGAGAGAACCCGUACACUACUUUGUUUAGUUAGGGCUUUAAAGUUUAGCUACCUUAAAAACUAGUAGGGAAGAGGUAACAGCUCACUUGCUUUAAACACAGUUGUCGCUGGUGAGUUACACUUCACCUAUUUACGAUCUCAUCAACUUCCUUCUGAGGUAUGUCACUGUGGUGUUCGCAGCCACACUGAAAAGCCCUGCCCAAUUUCCUGUGUCCUCAGCUCGUGGGAGCUGCACUCACUCAUGCAUCGCUAGGAAGUCUGGGAACAUACCCCGUGGUUCUUUGGACUGCUGUAAACUGAGCCACUCUGGUGCUUUCCCAGUGAAUUGUGAGAGAACUUGUCUGCCCUUCUGUGCACAGAGUGGAAUUGGGGGAAGGCAUGGGAGGACUCUCAGCGCUCAGCCUGCAUCCUCGCUGCAAGCCGAGUGGGUUACCAGCUCUGGCCUAUACCCAUAGCCCGCGAGCUAGCCUGGGUUUAAAGUCCCACCAAAUGCCAGUGAGACAGUUUUGUGCGUCGACAUGGAGGGAGGGGGCUAUUCAUGGCAGCACCCAAGGAAGAGGCAGCGUCAGAUUGGAGUGAAGACAUUAUCCUUGGUGCAUGUUGGCCUUUAUACUUACUAAUACCUAGCUUCCCCUGCUGGCCUGCAGCCCUGCCUACUCCCGUCUCUCCCCACCCCUUUGGUUCAAUCCAUUUGCUACCCCUCCUGUUUGGUGACAUCACCAGUUUACUCACCCUGAGUUUCGAUCUGACAAGACAGGAAGCAGCCACCAAGAGUAAAAAAGCUGCUGGUUUGUUAGUCAGAAGAAGCUGCAGAAAGCGUUACAAGCAACUAGAAACAUCACUGCCUACAGAGUGACAUACUUCUUCCCUGUAACAAACGCAGCUGUCGCAUAAGACACACUGAUUUGUUACAUUUCAGAAUAGCCCAUUUUUGUUCCCCUUGUCCACGAAGGUACUGCUGAGACACACACGCAACGUGUGCCUGGAUUAGCCAAGAUGUGCACCUCUUGGGAAGUGAAUUUAAUUCUAACAGCUAGUCACUGAUAAACAUCUGAGAGCACCAUUGUAAAUAAAUGUACCAGUGGUUCUACUUGCUCUCUCUCCAGUGCAGUUUAUGCCAGGUCUCCAUGCAAUAAAGGGACUUUAUUGUUCUGAACAGUUCAAGUGAAUUCUCUCCAUUUCUCUCACUACAGUUCCCCCCUAAGGAAUGGGCAGCGUCCCCUCCCUUCUCACUAACAGGGAGCAGCCGGAGAUAUAGGGUAGACAGUACUGUAGUCUUAUCCACACAAACUUCUAGCAGUACAGGGUGAUGGGACAAUAUUACCUAGGGCAGAUAAGGGUCAGGAUCCCGGGUGAUUUUGAAUGGCCUACAGAAGUCACUGAGGUUGAAGCCACCACUAUGCUAAGCGUUUGUAGGUUCCUAAAGCUUUAAUGUAUUCAGAUGAAAAGCUGUGUUGGAUUUAAAGCGACAGCCGUAACGUUAUAGAGGCAAUGCCAUCAGAAAACUUUUAGCUACUUGCAAACAAUUGCCCUACGAUGCUCAGUAGCCAGAAGACUUCUAUUCACCAGUGAUGCGUGCAUAGUAUUUUGGGGUGAAAUGGAGGAGGCUGAGCUUCUUCCACCUCCUCUUGAGAAGCACCCAAGCUUCUGAGUUGAGAAGCUACAUUGUAAAGAUGCCCUCACCUCCCGAGGACGAGCUCCAGUAAUGCUAUGGCUGAGGUGAUGCUACUACAGAGUUUGUAACCAUCAGCAGCUACAGCAGUGGCCAUCCACUGGCCCUAUGGAUUGAAAACCUUGACAAACCCACUUGCCUACUUGCAGUCAUUGAGAUAUUUACACAGCCCAAAGUGUGUGUGAGCCAUAAAAAGCGAGUUAGAUUUAGUCUGAUAAGACAUACAUCUGGCCAGGUCCACUAAACAAAGCAUCAGGAAAGAUUAACACUGUGUAAGGCUCCUUAUCUAAGGGAGGUCUGCUUAAGGUGUACACAUGGUACAUCGCCAGAAGUUUGCUUUAAUUUAAUGCUUUAUAUCAGAGAAGCUUGAAUUAUUUUCAAUUCAUAAGUGAAUUUAAUCUCACACCAUCUCUUCCAAGGGCGAGGGAGGAUGGCAUAAUACCCAUUUACAGGAUUUCUGCCCUUCAGUGGCCCUUUAAGUGAUUCCCCCCCCGCCCCCAUCAUAGUAAGUCAGUGAAAGACAGGGAAUAGAGUCCACAGCUCCUGCCACCCAGUUCUAUGUCAGCCAAAAUAGUCUUCCUCACUAGGAAUACAUAGUGCUUUACAACUUCAGUCACUUACAGACAAGCAAUCUACUUGGACCCCUGUAAGGUGCUGAUGUACCCACAUUUUGCAGAUAGGGAGACAAAGCCACUUGCCUUAGGACACCCCAUCGGUCAGUAAUAUAGACAGACUAUACAAGGUGCUGGAGCAGUCGCUAUAAUUAGUACACUUUAAAAGCACUAAAAGAAUAGAUUUUGAACCCCAAGUAUGAGAACAACACUUAUGCAUUAAUCCAGCUCUGCAGAACAGCCAGUUGUAAAAUCAAACAGUGAGCCCAGUUUGGUAAUACAGAUAUCUAUUUUAUUAAAAAAGUUACAAACAGGUGGACCGUAGGGUUGUCUUACAAAAUGACAAGAAUGAAAUCUAUCGGAAAAACUUUUUACAAAGCAUUAUAGGUAAUGGUUCAAUUUUUGCACUUGUUAUUCCAGAUUUCACCUAUCACUGAUAAAGAUACAGUACAUUAGAUACAUGAUGUUAGGUUACAUUUUAUUUGUAGAGCCCUACUGCAGUGAUUUGAACAACUCCUAAACAGAUGCCAUAGUAGAGACAAUACAUAUAUUGCAUUUAUUAUUAGCGUCUUAUUCUAAUAAGCAACUUCACAUGCAAGCUAUUGAGGAAGCCUAAAAUAACUUUUGGUCCCUUUUUUCAAAGUGUGCUGAAGAAACCAUCUUUAUCUCAUUUUCCCAUCCUUAUCACUCUAAGCUAGUUCAAGUCAAGUUUUUUUGCUGAGGUCAAUGAAAUGAAUACUUUUGUUUGAUAAACUACCCAUAGGAAAGAACCACCAACUGAUAUCAACCCAACUUUUCUCCCCUUAGACAAUGGAAAACUAAGAUCGUAACUAUUUAUGUUUAUUUCCUAUUACUUGGUAUAUCUACUAAAAGACCAACAAUCACCACUUAAAUCUACUUUGAAUACAGGGUUUGGUUUAAUUCUGGUAUUAAAGUGCAAACCUAAAUAUUAGCCUCGGCCUGUUUAUCAAAGUUUGUACAAACAGGGAAAAGUAUUUUAAGUAACCACACAGCAAAGUUAGGUAUUCUGAUAUCCAAGCAGAAACCUUAGAGAAUUUAUUCUCAUUGAAAUUAAAAUUCAAUACUAAGAACAUAGUCAAUAAAAUCUUAAUUUCUGCUAAAUACUGUAAAUCUUAAGAUCCUGUUUCUAUUAACCCAAUAAACCGCAUGAAUGUGGAGAUACUAUAUUUGUGACUUCUUUUGCAGUUUUGUUUGAAUGCCAUCAUCAUUUAGUGAAUUUUAAAAAUUGCUUCACCUCGCAUAUCCAUCACUGCUUUUACUGGAGCUUUCCUUGUUAAAGUUAUUUAGCUAUUACAGGGAAAAUGUAUAGUUAUAUUUAUCAGAAGCAUGUUCAAAUGACUAAAGCUGGGCUCCUAAAAACCUAGAACUUUGGUGCAGUAGGUGAGCUGCAGUUAUUAAACUUCUGCAAAACAAAUUACACAUUUUAAACCACCUCUAGAAAAAGCUCUCAUGUAUGCAAUAAUUGUUAAUAAAACUGAACAAAGAUUUCAUCUGCUCUUUAUACAUUUUCAUUCUGCUUUAAUACCUGUGUUAUUGAUAAAAUUUUCAAGUAUUCAGACAAAAUGUUGAUCAGGUAAACAACAUGGAAGGCAAUGGCUGUUUAAAGCACACUUGCAGUUAGUAUCACUGAAACCUGGUGCUUUUCCCCUUGUUACACCAACUUUGUCUUUAACACUAACUUGUUUAUGGGGGUG